CGCUGGCGGCGUGCCUAACACAUGCAAGUCGAGCGGAGUCAGUAAGAGGAAGUUUCGGAUGGAAUCUUGUUGAUUUAGCGGCGGACGGGUGAGUAACGCGUGAGCGACCAACCUUGCACAGGGGGAUAACGGACCGAAAGGUUCACUAAUACCGCAUGAGACCACGGUGUUGCAUGACACAGAGGUCAAAGGAGCAAUCCGGUGCAAGACGGGCUCGCGUCCGAUUAGGUAGUUGGAGGGGUAACGGCCCACCAAGCCUAUGAUCGGUAGCCGACCUGAGAGGGUGAUCGGCCACAUUGGAACUGAGAUACGGUCCAAACUCCUACGGGAGGCAGCAGUGGGGAAUAUUGGGCAAAUGGGGGAAACCCUGACCCAGCAACGCCGCGUGAAGGAAGAAGGUUUUCGGAUUGUAAACUUCUGUCCUUGGUGAAGAGAAGAAGACGGUAGCCAAGGAGGAAGCCCCGGCUAACUACGUGCCAGCCGCUGC
rnacentral:rRNA from 1 species